rnacentral:tRNA from 2 species
GCCGAAGUGGCGGAAUAGGCAGACGCGCAUGAUUCAGGGUCAUGUGGGCUUUAUGCUCGUGGGAGUUCAAGUCUCCCCUUCGGCAUCA